rnacentral:lncRNA from 1 species
GGAGGGAAGGAAUGAAGGUUCUAGGAAAGGCAGUUUCUGGGAGGACAAAAACACAGCCGCCACCUCACCAAAUGUUGGCUUUUCUGCAAUGGGUACAAAAUCUUUUUUUCUUUUUUUUUCCUUUUCUUUUAAUGAGGUCCCAUGGGAGUGUUGGAUUGCAUUCAUACUAUACAUCUCCAUGUUGACCUUAGAUUGAACCCAAGCCAAAGGCAAUGCUGUUGCUCUCCUUUUCUUUCAUAAUCUUCAUCUCCAAGUCAUUGACUGGAUGUCAGGAAGUGUGAACGCUGAAAAUUCUAGGUUUAGGUUGGAUGUAUUGGUUCCUUAACGUUGUCCAUAUUCAUGAACUUAAUUAAAUGUACGAGGGAAACAGAUGCAUUUUUACUGCUCUGUUUAAAUCCACAGGGACAAACGAAUUACC